GGUAUUUUGACUAUACAAAGGUAUUGAAAUAAGAUUUUAAUUGAAUGCUAAGAGAAUGGAAACCCAGAAAAAAACUUUUUUUAAAUUAAAAAUUGAAAUUUUUUUAAUUUGUGCAGAAACAAUUAUUAAUAUUAAGGACAAGAAGACCCUAUGAAUUUAUAAAAUUCUAUUUAAUAUGUUAUUGCUGUUGAAGAAUUUUUGGCUGGGGCGGCUAAAAAAUAUUUUAAACUUUUUAAAAGUAAAAUGAUCCAUUAUUAAUGAUUACAUGUGAAAUA
rnacentral:rRNA from 1 species